rnacentral:rRNA from 1 species
UCUCCUGGAAACGGGUGGUAAUGCCGGAUGUUCCACAUGAUCGCAUGUGAUUGUGGGAAAGAUUUCAUCGGCGUGGGAUGGGGUCGCGUCCUAUCAGCUUGUUGGUGAGGUAACGGCUCACCAAGGCUUCGACGGGUAGCCGGCCUGAGAGGGCGACCGGCCACAUUGGGACUGAGAUACGGCCCAGACUCCUACGGGAGGCAGCAGUGGGGAAUAUUGCACAAUGGGCGCAAGCCUGAUGCAGCGACGCCGCGUGAGGGAUGGAGGCCUUCGGGUUGUAAACCUCUUUUGUUUGGGAGCAAGCCUUCGGGUGAGUGUACCUUUCGAAUAAGCGCCGGCUAACUACGUGCCAGCAGCCGCGGUAAUACGUAGGGCGCAAGCGUUAUCCGGAUUUAUUGGGCGUAAAGGGCUCGUAGGCGGCUCGUCGCGUCCGGUGUGAAAGUCCAUCGCUUAACGGUGGAUCUGCGCCGGGUACGGGCGGGCUGGAGUGCGGUAGGGGAGACUGGAAUUCCCGGUGUAACGGUGGAAUGUGUAGAUAUCGGGAAGAACACCACC